UAACUGUCUCCUGAGAGGCUUCAUCCAGCAGCUGAUGGAAAGAUCCAGAGAGCCACAGCCAAACACUAGACCGAGCUUGGGGAAUCUUGUGGAAGAGUUGGGGAUGGGACUGAGGAAGCCAGAGAGGACACCACAAGAAGACCUACAGAGUCAACUAACUUGAGCCCAUUGGGGCUCACAGAAACUGAACCUCCAACCAAAGAGCAUGAAGGAGCUGGACCUAGGCCCCAUACACUUUUGUAACGGAUAUGCAGCUUGGUUUUCAUGUGGGCCCCUAACAGUUGGAGCUGGCUGCCUUUGGAUUCCUUUUCCCUAACUGGAUGGCCUUGUUGGAUUUCAGUGGAAGAGGUUUCUGCUUGGUUCAGCUUUGACUUGAUCCGUCCGGGUUGGGAGAAGGUGCAGACAGUGCAUAGGCUCUGUGCAGCUGAACACAGCUGAAAUUGAAAUGGCAACCUGCUUUAGAAGGAUGAUCCUGGACUGAGAGAUCUCUAAGGUGCCAGCUCUUCUUCCUGCCUCCC
rnacentral:lncRNA from 1 species